UAAUACAGAGGGGGCAAGCGUUAUUCGGAAUUAUUGGGCGUAAAGGGCGCGUAGGCGGCCUUGCAAGCGACGGGUGAAAUCCCUCGGCUUAACCGAGGAACUGCCUGUCGAACUGCUCGGCUUGAGACCGGGAGAGGUGAGUGGAAUUCCCAGUGUAGCGGUGAAAUGCGUAGAUAUUGGGAGGAACACCAGUGGCGAAGGCGGCUCACUGGACCGGUACUGACGCUGAGGCGCGAAAGCGUGGGUAGCAAACAGGAUUAGAUACCCUGGUAGUCCACGCCGUAAACGAUGAGUGCUUGGUGUAGCGGGUAUCGACCCCUGCUGUGCCGUAGUCAACGCAUUAAGCACUCCGCCUGGGGAGUACGGUCGCAAGGCUG
rnacentral:rRNA from 1 species